rnacentral:rRNA from 1 species
AGGAGCCAGAUACGAUAGAUAGUGGCUGGGGUAAAAUCUACCAGAGGACCAUCUUCACAUGGUUUGAGAGGAUGAUCACCUCUGUGGGAUGAGACGCGGUGCAGAAUAUUCGGGAGGCGGCAGUGGGGAAUAUUGUUCAAGCGCGAAAGCGAGAUCCAGCAAUGCUGCGUGAGUGAUGUCGGCCGUAGGGAAGUGAUGAUAUUUUUUAAGGGAUGAUAAUGACGGUACCUGGAGAAGAAGCUCCGGCUAACUCCGUGCCAGCAGCCGCGGUAAUACGGAGGGAGCAAGCGUUAUUCGGAAUUAUUGGGCGUAAAGCGCGCGCAGGCGGUUUUUUAAGUCAGAGGUGAAAGCCCGGGGCUCAACCCGGGAAUUGCAUUUGAAACUGGCAAACUUGAAUCUUGGAGAGGGGAGUGGAAUUCCGAGUGUAGAGGUGAAAUUCGUAGAUAUUCGGAGGAACACCAGUGGGGAAGGCGACCCACUGGACAAGUAUUGACGCUGAGGUGCGAAAGCGUGAGGAACAAACAGGAUUUGAUACCUUGGUAGUCCACCCAAUAAACGAGAGGGACUGCAGUCCGGGUUCAUAGAAGUGGGGACGCA